UACAGAGGGGGCAAGCGUUGUUCGGAAUUACUGGGCGUAAAGGGCGCGUAGGCGGCCUUCUAAGUCGAACGUGAAAUCCCCCGGGCUCAACCCGGGAACUGCGUCCGAUACUGGAAGGCUUGAAUCCGGGAGAGGGAUGCGGAAUUCCAGGUGUAGCGGUGAAAUGCGUAGAUAUCUGGAGGAACACCGGUGGCGAAGGCGGCAUCCUGGACCGGCAUUGACGCUGAGGCGCGAAAGCUAGGGGAGCAAACGGGG
rnacentral:rRNA from 1 species